rnacentral:rRNA from 1 species
UCAAAACUUUUCAGCUAGAGUAUGAUAGAGGAAAGCAGAAUUUCUAGUGUAGAGGUGAAAUUCGUAGAUAUUAGAAAGAAUACCAAUUGCGAAGGCAGCUUUCUGGAUCAUUACUGACACUGAGGAACGAAAGCAUGGGUAGCGAAGAGGAUUAGAUACCCUCGUAGUCCAUGCCGUAAACGAUGUGUGUUAGACGUUGGAAAUUUAUUUUCAGUGUCGCAGGGAAACCGAUAAACACACCGCCUGGGGAGUACGACCGCAAGGUUAAAACUCAAAUGAAUUGACGGGGACCCGCACAAGUAGUGGAGCAUGUGGUUUAAUUCGAAGAUACGCGCAGAACCUUACCAACACUUGACAUGUUCGUCGCGACUCUAAGAGAUUAGAGUUUUCGGUUCGGCUGGACGAAACACAGGUGCUGCAUGGCUGUCGUCAGCUCGUGUCGUGAGAUGUUGGGUUAAGUCCCGCAACGAGCGCAACCCUCACUUUUAGUUGCCAUCAUUAAGUUGGGCACUCUGAAAGAACUGCCAGUGAUAAGCUGGAGGAAGGUGGGGAUGACGUCAAGUCCUCAUGGCCCUUACGUGUUGGGCUACACACGUGCUACAAUGGCAUCUACAAUAGGAAGCAAAACGGCAACGUUAAGCAAAUCCCGAAAAGAUGCCUCAGUUCGGAUUGCACUCUGCAACUCGAGUGCAUGAAGCUGGAAUUACUAGUAAUCGUGGAUCAGCGUGCCACGGUGAAUGCGUUCCCGGGUCUUGUACACACCGCCCGUCACACCAUGGGAGUUGGUUCUACCUUAAGGCAAGGUUUUAAACCCUUGACCACGGUAUAGUCAGCGACUGGGGUGAAGUCGUAACAAGGUAACCAA